AGUUUUAUGAAGUAAUAUAAAAUAUUUUCUGCCCAGUGUAUUAGUUUUAUUAUAAAUGGCCGCAGUACCUUGACUGUGCUAAGGUAGCAUAAUCAAUUGGCUUUUAAUUGAAGUCUAGAAUGAAUGGGAUAAUGGAAUUUUACUGUCUUAAUUAAUUUAAUUAAAAUUUAUUUAUCAGGUGAAAAUACCUGUAUUAAAAAUAAAGACGAGAAGACCCUAUGAAUUUUUAUCUUGUUUUUGUUGGGGCGACAGUUUAACAUAACGAUCUUAAAUUACUUAAUAUAACGAUUAUAUUAAUAAAAAUUAAAUUACCUUAGGGAUAACAGCAUAAUUGUAUAAACAGUUUGUGACCUCGAUGUUGGACUAGGAACUAUAAGGCUAACCGUCUAAAUAGAUUUGUUCUGUUCGAACAAUUUAAUCCU
rnacentral:rRNA from 1 species